ACACAUGCAGUCGAGCGGUAACAGGAAGCAGCUUGCUGCUUCGCUGACGAGUGGCGGACGGGUGAGUAAUGUCUGGGGAUCUGCCUGAUGGAGGGGGAUAACUACUGGAAACGGUAGCUAAUACCGCAUAACGUCUCAAGACCAAGGAGGGGGACCUUCGGGCCUCUUGCCAUCUGAUGAACCCAGAUGGGAUUAGCUAGUAGGUGGGGUAACGGCUCACCUAGGCGACGAUCCCUAGCUGGUCUGAGAGGAUGACCAGCCACACUGGAACUGAGACACGGUCCAGACUCCUACGGGAGGCAGCAGUGGGGAAUAUUGCACAAUGGGCGCAAGCCUGAUGCAGCCAUGCCGCGUGUAUGAAGAAGGCCUUCGGGUUGUAAAGUACUUUCAGCGAGGAGGAAGGUGGUGAGCUUAAUACGCUCAUCAAUUGACGUUACUCGCAGAACAAGCACCGGCUAACUCCGUGCCAGCAGCCGCGGUAAUACGGAGGGUGCAAGCGUUAAUCGGAAUUACUGGGCGUAAAGCGCACGCAGGCGGUCUGUCAAGUCGGAUGUGAAAUCCCCGGGCUCAACCUGGGAACUGCAUCCGAAACUGGCAGGCUUGAGUCUCGUAGAGGGGGGUAGAAUUCCAGGUGUAGCGGUGAAAUGCGUAGAGAUCUGGAGGAAUACCGGUGGCGAAGGCGGCCCCCUGGACUAAUACUGACGCU
rnacentral:rRNA from 1 species